CAGGCCUACGGGACGCAGCAGUGAGGAAUAUUGGUCAAUGGGCGGGAGCCUGAACCAGCCAAGUCGCGUGAAGGAAGAAGGUACUUAGUAUUGUAAACUUCUUUUGUCGGGGAACAAAGGCGGAGACGCGUCUCCGGAUGAGUGUACCCGAAGAAAAAGCAUCGGCUAACUCCGUGCCAGCAGCCGCGGUAAUACGGAGGAUGCGAGCGUUAUCCGGAUUUAUUGGGUUUAAAGGGUGCGCAGGCGGGAGAGCAAGUCGGCGGGAAAAUGGGGGGG
rnacentral:rRNA from 1 species